AGGGGGUGGAGGAUUUAAUUCUUCCUCUAGCAGGCAGCUGCCCCUCCUUCGUUCAGUGCAGCCUGCAGUCUGGAGAGUAGAGAGUUGGAGCUUGGCACUUGCUCUCCGGUACUGUAGCACAGAAGCCCACACUUGCCCCUGAGUGGAACAAGAGGUCCCUCCGUACUCGGGAGAGGGGAGACGUGUCGUGUUAUAAGCCCACGUGCACCUUUUAUUGGGUUGACUAGACGCGAUGGAGAAUCAAAGUGGAACGCAACAUGGCGCUGGAACGCAUCACGGAACCUCAGUCUACACGGAAGCUGAAGUGACGCGUAUCCUGUCACACUUUUCCGGUCCUGCGGAGUUUCUGCAAGUGCCGACAGUCACUAAUACACGGCGGCAACUAGAAACGCUGCGCAAGAGGACGGUGGAUUUGGAACUACACGGGCUGACUUUAGCUGAGUAUCACAAAAAGGCAUGGAUACCACGUGGAUUACGACCUGCUGAUGGUGAUGUGCUGACGUGCCCCUAGCAGUGAAUGCUUUCCUGUAACAUCUUAUGCUCUUUCUGGCCUACUACUGUGUUAUGGUUAUACUUCACGUGUGUCAAACUCUACUUUAUUAUCUUGGUACUUGCCCACAGAGGAUACAGACAUGGACACUGACUGAUUGGCCACGCCUCAAACUCCGUUAUUCAGCCUCUCCAUGUGCAAACUUUUCCUGAAGUACUAAAUUGGACUCAACACAAGCGACAGAUGUGAUGAACUGACAGCUGUUUGGCUCAUUUGAACCUGGGUGCAGUCACCUUUCGAAAACAUAUCAGUAUGGCUUCUUCUGUUUUCUUGUUUGAAAUGACAUUACCCAUGUUACUAUUUUGGACUAGCACCUUGUCAAAAAAGAAAAACAAACACACCCGGUAAUGUUUUAGUGCCUUUACUGACACAAUCUUUGUCAAAAUCCAAAACAGUUGAACAACAAUAAAAAGACAAUAUAUAUCAGUA